AGUCAUUGUGAUGAAACGGAAGUCAUUGUGAUGAAACGGAAGUCAUUGUGAUGAAACGGAAGUCAUUGUGAUGAAACGGAACACUAGAAUGGCAAUGCCGGCAAAAAUUUAAUGAUUUUCCGUCGGUGGAUCUUUGCUAUCAUUGUCUCAGUCUGGAGUGCUAUUUACUUUGCACUUCUAGGACACGCAGCCUCGACAGCCUCCGGUGCUGCUGCAACCACCGGUGGAAGAGACACGGAGAUUCAUCUCGACGAAAACAUGAACUGUGCACCGUCGAGGGAAAUGUUGGAAUCUGCUGUAAGACAGGUCCUCAUCUGUCUGUUAUUUUAUUAAGGGGACACAUUCGUACUGACAAAAUCAUAGGAUCAACUGCAGCAAUGAGUCUGGAGGGGGAAGCUACUACAACAGCACUGGAGAAGAUGUUCGGCAGUCGUCUUCACACCAUCAGACCUUCUCACUCCCUCAUCCUCCACUUUGCACCAACACACUGGGUUCUCCUUCCUUUGGAUUUACAGCAGCAGUGAGCGAGACCAGUGUGAGCCCCCGCCAGCGGCACGAGAACACGCACGACCGGGCUGAGAGACAGACCCAAGUGAGAGAAGAGACGUUGUCUGAUCCGCGGGGGUUGAAGCGCCCUGUGCAGGACUCAGCGCCCAGAGUUCUGAAGCUCUGCUGCGCCACAAACAGCUGUUCACCUGAUUCAUCAGAGUUCGGCUUCUCUGGGCAGUCUUGCAUUUGAAGUUGGUUGCCGGACCAUUGAUGCAAAAGGCAUCAGCCCUCAUGGAGUCACUGAGAGAGGACUACAUCACAUCAUCAAAGACAACGAGAGCCGAGCUGCGUCGUCCUCCACUACACCUGCCUUCCUUUCCACAUCCUGCCACGGAUCACCAGGGACCGUGCCUGUCUCUCACACAACAUUCACAGUUUAACACAGGACUAAACUGUAAUAGUUUACAGGUUCAGAUUAUUAUUAGUCAAGACAAAGUCAGAUUAAACUCUCCAUUUCAUAUUCAUAUGAACCAAAGAGGUUACAUACCGAGUCCCAUUUAUUUAUUGUGAGAUAUAGUUUGAUGAAAUCUGGUGAACAAUCAGGCUAUGAGCCAAAGAUCAAUUGACUAAUAUUUAGUAAUUUAGCCUUUUAAAGGUUUUGUAAACAUUGCAUGAUGUUUGUUCUUACCUUUUUCACUAAUUACUUUUGCAUAUUGUAGUCAGUUGAGAAAAAACGUGUUUAUUUUCUCAUGAUUGUCUACGUGUGCAUUUUGAUCUAAAGCCUGAAGCAAAUUAAAACAUUUUUCUAAUAAUAAAAUAGCUAAUUUAAGAUUGCAUAGUUUUUGUUGGAAGUAGGCUCUCUGGGUGCCUUUUAGUUUUAAAUGGAUAAUCAUUUUUUUCCUUUUGACCAUUUGGUACAUUCACAUACUUAUUCUAAAAAGUUCAAUUCUUGUGCUUUGAGUUUUGGUGGUGCAGUUAACUCUUAGUUUACAUUUUUAUUGCAAUAUGUUUCUUAUCGUCUUAACUGCAGUUCCUGAAUAUAAGAAUACAUUAAUAGUUUGUAUAUUUAGGAAUGUUGGUUAAUAGUCUUGCAACUUCUGUAUGCAGGCCUAACAGUUAAAGCAGUAUCUGAACUUUACUGCUGUUGUAAGUGUUUUCAUACAGUAAGACACUUUGUGAUUAUUUAGUAGUUUGUCACCCAAACGAGACCAUUCAUAAACAUUGUAAAUUCCUCCUUUUGGAAACUGUCUACUGAUGACGGACACGUGAGGGUAAGGGAUUUUUCUAAUCCAACAGAUGACCUGCAUGACAGCUGUUUAAUGAUAGUGCCUGGCGAUUUGGACACAAUAUCUACAGUUAAUAAUGAUAUUAACAUCAAAAAGUUGAUAUAGCAAUGAUGUAGAGAGCUGCCUAGUCGUUCACUUGUCACAACUCAAUUUCUGGCUGAUAUCAGUUAUUUCUACUGUUCCUGUUUUUUGGGCACUUCUCAGGCUCAUACUUUUGAGGCUGUGGUCCGUUAUAUGCAUAUGAAUAUACAUUUUCAACCUCUUAGUGUCAAAAUAAGCAUUGUGAUCCAUAUAAAUCAUAUUAAACUGACUGUUUAACCCGAGCCUACGUUACGUCCGUUUAGUCGGUUUUUGAUGCGAGAGUAAAAUAUCGGGGAAAAACUACUCCAGAUGUCGCUAUAGUGUAUAUUUGUGUAUAUUUUUAUGAAUUCAUACACAAUUUUCCUACACAUUGAGUAACAUGGUUUUGUGAUACAGUAGGUUGCGAUAAUGCUUCCUCUGGUUGCAAGUCGCCAUUAAAAAGAAGAAUGAAAUGGAAGUCAUUAUAAUGAAAAAAACCUAAAAAGCGCCAACUAUGUUGGUAAAGCCAAGACUUGCAAUAUAAUCUCAGACUUAACAAAGGAAUUAGGAUUCAAUGAGUGGGUUACAAGUCCAACCGUUUUAAUGCCAGCUGUACCACCAUGGUUACUGCCUCAGCCAGUUGAUUUUUCCAUAUCGAAACAAGUACAUCCAAGCAAAAAUGUAAUUAAUAUGCAAGCUAAUGUAAACCCUGCUUCAUGACAGUUGUGGGUAUUGUGUACAUUUAUUUACUGAUUGUUCUAAGACGCCAGAGAAUAGAAUAACAAGUUGUGCUUUAUAUUCCAUGAUUAAAAGUUAAGGUGUCUAAAA